AUUGAACGCUGGCGGCAUGCUUUACACAUGCAAGUCGAACGGCAGCACGGGGGCAACCCUGGUGGCGAGUGGCGAACGGGUGAGUAACACAUCGGAACGUGCCCAGUUGUGGGGGAUAACCUAUCGAAAGGUAGGCUAAUACCGCAUGAGCUCGGCAAGAAGGAAAGGCGGGGGACUCAGCGAUGGGCCUCGCGCGACUGGAGCGGCCGAUGUCCGAUUAGCUAGUGGUGGGGUAAGGCUUACCAAGGCGACGAUCGGUAGCUGGUCUGAGAGGAUGAUCAGCCACACGUGGGACUGAGA
rnacentral:rRNA from 1 species